CGGGGCGUAGCGCAGCUGGCUAGCGCACUUGAAUGGGGUUCAAGAGGUCUUGGGUUCAAAUCCCAACGCUCCGA
rnacentral:tRNA from 1 species